rnacentral:rRNA from 1 species
UAGUGAGUUUGAUCCUGGCUCAGGACGAACGCUGGCGGCAUGCCUAACACAUGCAAGUCGAACGAAGCCUUCGGGCUUAGUGGCGCACGGGUGCGUAACGCGUGGGAAUCUGCCCUCAGGUACGGAAUAACUCAGGGAAACUUGAGCCAAUACCGGAUGAUGACGUAAGUCCAAAGAUUUAUCGCCCAGGGAUGAGCCCGCGUAAGAUUAGCUUGUUGGUGAGGUAAAGGCUCACCAAGGCGACGAUCUUUAGCUGGUCUGAGAGGAUGAUCAGCCACACUGGGACUGAGACACGGCCCAGACU